rnacentral:rRNA from 1 species
CCCUUAGAUGUUCUGGGCCGCACGCGCGCUACACUGAGCCCUUCAUCGAGUUUACAACCUUGGCCGGUAGGUCUGGGUAAUCUUCUCAAAGGGGCUCGUGCUGGGGAUAGAUUAUUGUAAUUUUUAAUCUUCAACGAGGAAUUCCUAGUAAACGCAAGUCAACAGCUUGCAUUGAUUACGUCCCUGCCCUUUGUACACACCGCCCGUCGCUACUACCGAUUGAAUGGCUUAGUGAGCCCGAGGGACUGUUGCACCUAGAGGGUUUUCCCUCCAGGAGCAGCCGGGAACUCGGUCAAACUUGAUCAUUUAGAGGAAGUAAAAGUCGUAACA